rnacentral:rRNA from 1 species
UACGGGGGGAGCAAGCGUUGUUCGGAUUUACUGGGCGUAAAGGGCGCGUAGGCGGCCAGCACAAGUCAGUUGUGAAAUCUCCGAGCUUAACUCGGAACGGUCAACUGAUACUGUGCGGCUAGAGUGCGGAAGGGGCAACUGGAAUUCUUGGUGUAGCGGUGAAAUGCGUAGAUAUCAAGAGGAACACCUGCGGCGAAGGCGGGUUGCUGGGCCGACACUGACGCUGAGGCGCGAAAGCGUGGGGAGCAAACAGG